CCUAACACAUGCAAGUCGAACGAAGCCUUCGGGCUUAGUGGCGGACGGGUUAGUAACGCGUGGGAACGUACCCUUCACUACGGAAUAGUCCUGGGAAACUGGGUUUAAUACCGUAUACGCCCUUCGGGGGAAAGAAUUUCGGUGAGGGAUCGGCCCGCGUUAGAUUAGAUAGUUGGUGGGGUAAUGGCCUACCAAGUCUACGAUCUAUAGCUGGUUUUAGAGGAUGAUCAGCAACACUGGGACUGAGACACGGCCCAG
rnacentral:rRNA from 1 species